GACGAACGCUGGCGGCGUGCUUAACACAUGCAAGUCGAACGGAAAGGCCCUGCUUUUGUGGGGUGCUCGAGUGGCGAACGGGUGAGUAACACGUGAGUAACCUGCCCUUGACUUUGGGAUAACUUCAGGAAACUGGGGCUAAUACCGGAUAGGAGCUCCUGCUGCAUGGUGGGGGUUGGAAAGUUUCGGCGGUUGGGGAUGGACUCGCGGCUUAUCAGCUUGUUGGUGGGGUAGUGGCUUACCAAGGCUUUGACGGGUAGCCGGCCUGAGAGGGUGACCGGCCACAUUGGGACUGAGAUACGGACCAGACUCCUACGGGAGGCAGCAGGGGGGAAUAUUGCAAAAUGGGCGGAAGCCUGAUGAAGAAACGCCGCGUGCGGGAUGACGGCCUUCGGGUUGUAAACCGAUUUCGCCUGUGACGAAGAGUGAGUGACGGUAAUGGGUAAAGAAGCACCGGCUAACUACGUG
rnacentral:rRNA from 1 species